GCAGUAAAAUGGCGCACGGGUCCGUAACACGUGGGCAAUCUACUUCCGGGCAAGGGACAACCUGUCGAAAGACGGGCUAAUACCUUAUAAGACCACGAGGACUUCGGUUCUUGGGGUCAAAGGUGGCCUCUAUUUAUAAGCUAUCACCUGGAAAUGAGCCUGCCACCAUCAGCUUGUUGGUAGGGUAAUGGCCUACCAAGGCUAAGACGGUUAGCUGGUCUGAGAGGACGACCAGCGACACUGGAACUGAGACACGGUCCAGACUCCUACGGGAGGCAGCAGUGGGGAAUUUUGGACAAUGGGCGAAAGCCUGAUCCAGCAACGCCGCGUGAGUGAUGAAGGCCUUCGGGUCGUAAAGCUCUGUCGGAGGGAACGAAUAAGGGACACCUAAUACGUGUCCUGAUGACGGUACUCUCAAAGGAAGCAACGGCUAACUCUGUGCCAGCAGCCGCGGUAAUACAGAGGUUGCAAGCGUUGUUCGGAAUUACUGGGCGUAAAGGGCGUGUAGGCGGUCGAAUAUGUCCGAUGUGAAAGCCCUCGGCUUAACCGGGGAAGUGCAUUGGAAACUAUUUGACUGGAGUGCAGAAGAGGAUAGCAGAAUUCCUAGAGUAGAGGUGAAAUUCGUAGAUACUAGGAGGAAUACCUGAGGCGAAGGCGGCUAUCUGGUCUGUAACUGACGCUGAAACGCGAAAGCAUGGGGAGCAAACAGGAUUAGAUACCCUGGUAGUCCAUGCCGUAAACGAUGUUCACUAGGUGUCGGGAGAUUUGACCCUUUCGGUACCGUAGCUAACGCAUUAAGUGAACCGCCUGGGGAGUACGGUCGCAAGACUAAAACUCAAAAGAAUUGACGGGGGCCCGCACAAGCGGUGGAGUAUGUGGUUUAAUUCGACACACGCGAAGAACCUUACCUGGAUUAGAAAUCAACUGGACGAAUUGCAGAGAUGUGACUCUUCCCCGCAAGGGGACUGGUUGACAGGUGCUGCAUGGCUGUCGUCAGCUCGUGUCGUGAGAUGUUGGGUUAAGUCCCGCAACGAGCGCAACCCCUAUCUCUUGUUGCCAUCAUUAAGUUGGGAACUCUAGAGAGACUGUCGGUGUUAAACCGGAGGAAGGCGGGGAUGACGUCAAGUCCUCAUGGCCCUUGAUGUCCAGGGCUACACACGUACUACAAUGGUCGGUACAAACCGCUGCCAACUCGCAAGAGGGAGCAAACCGGAAAAAACCGGCCUCAGUUCGGAUUGAGGGCUGCAACUCGCCCUCAUGAAGCUGGAAUCGCUAGUAAUCGCAGAUCAGCAAGCUGCGGUGAAUACGUUCUCGGGCCUUGUACACACCGCCCGUCACACCACGAAAGUCAAUUGGACCAGAAGUUAUAGGGUCUCCCUAUGCCCAAGGUCUGAUUGGUGAUUGGGGUGAAGUCGUAACAAGGUA
rnacentral:rRNA from 1 species